AUGGGGUGACUGCGUACCUUUUGUAUAAUGGGUCAGCGACUUAUAUUCUGUAGCAAGGUUAACCGUAUAGGGGAGCCGUAGGGAAACCGAGUCUUAACUGGGCGAAUGAGUUGCAGGGUAUAGACCCGAAACCCGGUGAUCUAUCCAUGGGCAGGUUGAAGGUUGGGUAACACUAACUGGAGGACCGAACCGACUAAUGUUGAAAAAUUAGCGGAUGACUUGUGGAUGGGGGUGAAAGGCCAAUCAAACCGGGAGAUAGCUGGUUCUCCCCGAAAGCUAUUUAGGUAGCGCCUCGUGAACUCAUCUUCGGGGGUAGAGCACUGUUUCGACUAGGGGGUCAUCCCGACUUACCAACU
rnacentral:rRNA from 1 species